UGGGAAGUAGUUCAAUGGUAGAACGGCUGCGGAGAGACUUCAUCGUCGUUUUUGGGUGCGGCUGAUACGGGUUCGAGCCCCGUCUUCCUAA
rnacentral:tRNA from 1 species